rnacentral:rRNA from 1 species
CGAAAGCCUGACGGAGCAAGACCGCGUGGGGGAGGAAGGCUCUAGGGUUGUAAACCCCUUUUCUCAGGGAAGAAGACCUGACGGUACCUGAGGAAUCAGCAUCGGCUAACUCCGUGCCAGCAGCCGCGGUAAUACGGAGGAUGCAAGCGUUAUCCGGAAUUAUUGGGCGUAAAGAGUCCGUAGGUGGCAAUGUAAGUCUGCUGUCAAAACCCAGGGCUCAACUCUGGUCAGGCAGUGGAAACUACAUAGCUAGAGUUCGGUAGGGGCAAAGGGAAUUCCCGGUGUAGCGGUGAAAUGCGUAGAGAUCGGGAAGAACAUCGGUGGCGAAAGCGCUUUGCUAGACCGAAACUGACACUCAGGGACGAAAGCUAGGGGAGCG